UUAAAAUUACAGUUCUUUAGCUUCGACUUCACCUAUUAAGAAAAUAUCUGGCAUUGGACUUUUUGAAAAUAAGUAGGCCAGUGGUAAUUACAGCCAGUCUUCCCGCUGCGCAGGAUGAAUAGAGUCUCCUGGGUGGUAUUUGCUGCUACCUGUCGAUGUGGGCUGUUGACAUGGAACUAUGUCUCCCUGGUGACUUCGUUCACAUUACAACAACAGCUGCACCCACGAGUAGUUGAGGAUCAGGUGCCGGAGGUGCCCCAAGGAAAAUGAAGAAAGAGAGAUGGAAGACAAGGAUGAAAUAAAAAAGAACGGGAAAGAUGGAGCACUGUAGCAGGAAAGCAGCAUCCAUCAUCACCCAAGCCACUCUUUAUUCUUGCUGCUUCCAUAAGGAAGAAGGAACAGGAGCUUCAGGAUCCACACCACCAGGCUCAAAUAACUGAUUAGCCCUCAACCAUCAGGCUAUUGGAACAGAGGGAUAACUUCAGUCAAAUUCACUUGCCCCAUCACUGAACUGUUCCCACAACCUAUGGAUUCACUUUCAAGGACUCUUCGUCUCAUGUUUUUAAUAUUUAUUUCUUAUUUCUUCUUCUUAUUAUUAUUAUUAAUUUUGUAUUUGCACAGUUUGUUGUCUUUUUUCACAGUGGUUGUUGUCCAUCUUGUUGGUUGCAGUCUUUCAUUGA